rnacentral:rRNA from 1 species
UACGUAGGGUGCGAGCGUUAAUCGGAAUUACUGGGCGUAAAGCGUGCGCAGGCGGUUCGCUAAGACCGAUGUUAAAUCCCCGGGCUUAACCUGGGAACUGCAUUGGUGACUGGCGAGCUAGAGUGUGGCAGAGGGGGGUAGAAUUCCACGUGUAGCAGUGAAAUGCGUAGAGAUGUGGAGGAAUACCGAUGGCGAAGGCAGCCCCCUGGGCUAACACUGACGCUCAUGCACGAAAGCGUGGGGAGCAAACAGG